UGCCAAGGUAAGAUGUAGGCUGGAAGGCCUCAGGCUGGUAUGUGUGCGGAGCAGGGUACGUCUGGCAGGGAUAAGAGAUACACAAGGAUGUCAGGGUAUAUGUUCCUAUUUCUGUGUGUUUGGAGGUGGGUAGAGUGAGCAGGGUACCAACCAAACUAUACCUGCUGCUGCCAGGCACCGGGUGACAGUGCCCAGAGAACUGUAGGAGGUGGCUUUGGCAAUGGCAGGGCUGUAUGUAGAGAGAGGCAUAGAAAGGCCUGUUCUGAGGGCAUUUGAGAGGGAGAUAGUCAAGAGACUCAGGCCACACAAUGUGUCUUGUGGGUUCUGUCUCUCCCCAGAAACAGGGUUCUCCAUGGCUGGCUAUCUACUGCCAUUCCCAAGCAAGUUGGGGCCACAGGCCACCCCUCUGGGCAAUACUCUUACUUUCCUCAUUCAGAGUGCCUACGACACCAGUUGAGUUUGGUCUCUAGUCUGCAAGCCCCCUCAGUUUCAGAAGAAUCCCACAGCAGGAAUUCCCUGCUCACCAAGGCCCUGGUGUUACACUUAUCCAGGAAAGCUCCCCACACAUUUAAGAGCAAAGCCUGGGGCUUGGGAGGUCCUUGGGACAUUGCAUAGGCACUCCAAGCUCAUAAAGAUUCGGUUCCCAGAGCUCCUGAGGCAGCAGGGAAGGGAAGGGAGGGGAAGGGCUGCUCUCAGCAGCUGCAGGGCCGAGGCCGCCGCCAGGAGGGCCGCUCUUCUUACAAAGAGAUGACAAGGCCCCUGGGCGGGAUCCAAGACGCCGACCACCUGCAGCUGGGCUCGCAGCUCCAGGCGGCCCGGAGCGCCCGGUCAGACCACGAGUGUGCUAGGAUAGGGGCGCUGGCGGGCACAAGUUCCUAGUGACACACCUUCAUGUUCAUCUGCUGCUUUAUGAAUGGUCUUCCAAGUCCUUUGCUCAUUAAAGGAAGCCAAUUUUCAGGGUUGGGAUGAUGGCUUAGUGGACAAAGAGCAUAUGCAAGCAUGAAGAUCUGUGUUUGGAUUCCUGGCACAUGCAGUAACAUACAUGGAUCCCACAAACAUGGAGGGCACACCCUCAUGAAUAUGCAACUCCUAUUGAUCCUGUUUCUAUGGAGACCACCAAUCAAUACAGUGUGGAUUCAAUAAGGCUCAUGUGUAAAGUGAAGACUUGGCUUGUGGAGUUGUGGAACAGCCUGUGGUGUAGCUCAGUCCAUCAAAAAGGCCCCAGAAGCCGAGAGCCAGUGGUAUGGAUUCUGGCCAGAAGGAUGCUGGCAGUUCAGCAUCAGCAGGCAGGGAGUAAAGGGGACCCAUCCCUCCUCAUUUCUUUACUCUGUCUGGAUCAGCAGGGUAGUGGUUAGUGUCACCUCAGAUCAGUUGAAGUU